AUUGAACGCUGGCGGCAGGCCUAACACAUGCAAGUCGAACGGUAACAGGAAGAAGCUUGCUUCUUUGCUGACGAGUGGCGGACGGGUUAGUAAUGUCUGGGAAACUGCCUGAUGGAGGGGGAUAACUACUGGAAACGGUAGCUAAUACCGCAUAACGUCGCAAGACCAAAGAGGGGGACCUUCGGGCCUCUUGCCAUCGGAUGUGCCCAGAUGGGAUUAGCUAGUAGGUGGGGUAACGGCUCACCUAGGCGACGAUCCCUAGCUGGUCUGAGAGGAUGACCAGCCACACUGGAACUGAGACACGGUCCAGACUCCUACGGGAGGCAGCAGUGGGGAAUAUUGCACAAUGGGCGCAAGCCUGAUGCAGCCAUGCCGCGUGUACGAAGAAGGCCUUCGGGUUGUAAAGUACUUUCAGCGGGGAGGAAGGGAGUAAAGUUAAUACCUUUGCUCAUUGACGUUACCCGCAGAAGAAGCACCGGCUAACUCCGUG
rnacentral:rRNA from 1 species